rnacentral:lncRNA from 1 species
GCAUAAGGCCCUCCAAGUCCAUCCCUGCUGUUGCAAAUGGCAAAAUUUCAUUCCUUUUUUAUGGCUUUGUAGUAUUCCAUUGUAUAUCUGUACCAAAUUUUCUUUAUCCAUUCAUCUCUUGAUGGACAUUUAGGUGGCUUCCAUGUCUUGCUUAUUGUGAAUAGUCCUAUGCUAUGAACAUUGGGCUGCACGUGUCCUUUUCAAUGAGUGUUUUUGUUUUUUUCAGAUAUAUACCCAGGAGUGGAAUUGCUGGGUCCUAUGAUAAUUCUAUUUUUAGUAUAACCUCUAUACUUUUUUUUUUUUUUUUUUUUUUUUUUGCAUAGUGGUUGCAUCAAGCUUACAUUUGUCCCAACGGGGUAGGAGGAUUCCCUUUUCUCCACACCUUCUCCAGCAUUUGUUAUUUGUGUUCUUUUUAGUGGUGGCCAUUCUGACAGCUGUGAGGCGAUAGCUCAUUGGCUCAAAUUAUUAUUUUUUUUUCUUGUUCUUUGGGGUACACUGGUAUUCCUUCCUGUUAAAGGUUAUUAUACCAGUUUUCAUCACUUAAAUUUGCUAAAUGCAUAAUAGUGCGUAUUUGGUACUUAUACCAGGCAUGCCCUUUGAAAAUAGGGGGAAAAAGGAGAUUUUUGGUAGCUUUUGAUACAGUGAUAAUUCCAAAUUUAUAAUAAUUGAGUUCAUGUGAUUCUUACUAGAAUAGAAGCUUGAAAAUUACUCUUUUUGUAAUUUGUGUGGCUCCCAUUCAGUUUGGAUAAGAAAGCCAGUUUAAAUGUACAUGUGUUCAGAGAAUGGCUUUAGAAGUGAGAAUUAUUGCCUUAAUUUCAGUAACUCAUAAUUUCUGUAUAUUAAACAUUUUAAUGUCAGUGAUACAUUACUCUGGUGUUAGCCUAUUGGAAAUGAUCAUUUUCUCAUUUUAUAGUAGAGUUUAUAGUGUGUGAUGUAUAUAUAAGUAGUGAAACUGCAUUUCCUCAAAUAGGCUUUCCUAGUUAGGCUUUUACUGGAGUAGCCAUAGUCUUUGACAUUUUAUUACUGCCUGUUUGUAAGGUUUUUUGGCAUAAGGGUAGUUUCAACAUACCCUGUUCUGGGAAUAGAGAGAAAAAGUUAAGGGAAUUCUGUUUGAGUCAUACCCAACCAAAGAGCAGCAUCAUUUUAGGAAUUCAAGCAGAGAAGUUCUCACUCUUCUAAAAAUAGUGGGGGGAAGAUUUAGGAGGUGGCUUAUGGGAUCACUUUUAAGACCAGGCCAGAUAUACAUACUAAUUCCCUCUUUGUAACUGAGAAGUCAAGCUUGCAUAUAUGGUUUGGUGAGGAGGUGAAAUUUCAGUUCACCUAAAGCAGGACACUGCCAUAAGUAUUACCUGUUGAAACUUGCCUUGUAGGGUUUAAACAUGUCCUCUUCAGGAUUUUAGUCAUUUCUAAUAAAGCCACUGGCAUUUUAUUAAAAAAUCAUGUAUAUUUUUGGAGAGGGCAAGGUGAGGGAGUGGGAAUUGUGGAUUGUUUUUGCUUUUCCUUAUCUGUCUUCUAAGAAGUGAUGGGAAAGGGCGUUCCCAUUGUGGCUCAGUGGUAAUGAACCCAACUAGUGUCCAUGAGGAUGCAGGUUCGAUCCCUGGCCUCACUCAGUGGGUUAAGGAUCUGGCGUUGCUGUGAGCCGCAGGGUAGGUCACAGACGUGGCUCAGAUCUAGUCUAUAUUGCUGUGGCCUAUUGGUGUAGGCCGGCAGCUGUAGCUCCCAUUCAAUCCCUAGCCAGGGAGCUUCCAUAUGCUGCAGGUGCAGCCCUAAAAAAAAGAGAAGUGAUGGGAAUGGAAGGACCGAAACCUCAAAAGUUAUUGUGGCUUUCUCCUCAGGACAGGGGUUCCCUCGUCCACCCCGAACACUUGCAUCUCCGUGGUCCUAAAAAAGAGGAGAGGAGAAAGGCGAUGGUUCUUUUCGAACUUGGUUUUAGCCUCUGCUGCAAUUCCAAAACAAUGAAGACUCACCAAGACUUGGGAGUCCACUGGGGUUUAGUGGGUGGGGCAGAAAACAGGGAUUCUGGCUCAAGACGGCUGCUAUAGCGUGAGCGUUGAUGAAGAGAGUGUGGGUUGGAAGUUACUUAUUAGACCCGUUCGUUAUACCUUGGCUGGUAUUCAGAGCUUGGGUCUCCCUGUCACCAUGACGAAGGAUGGGAGCCAGCAGCAUCGUGGCCUGUCCAAUCCAUUCUGACUGCCGAGCCCUUGUUAUUUAGAAGAUUGUCAUUGGAAUCAGAGUUUAGACCCUCAGAGCCAUGGCUUGGAGGAGAUUCAGGCAACGCUCAAACUAGAACCCCAGACUUCUGACGCCCUGCCAGCUUACUGACCUCCAGCUUGUGUUUGGUUUUCUUUCUGGCGUGUUUUCACAAUAACAGAAACGUUCAAGUCAAAUCACUCUACUAAGUGGGAAAAUUUUUUUUUUAGGUCAACCAGGGGAAUGGAGUGAAUAGAUUUACUUUUCAGUUGGGUGUGUUUGGUCAUGUGAAGAAAACCACACACUCAGAAAGUCUUCGUGUUAGGAUUUUUUUUAACUCAAAAUGAUUAAAGGGCGGUGGAGUAGGGAACAGACCUUCUACAUAGCACACUGUCUACACCUCCGUUCGGUUACCUGCACUCCUGUUGGGUGUUUUGGGGCUCGUUUGAAGGUGAGAGGUUGGUUCUGGCCCCCUGACCACCCCGUCUCCUUCUGCUAAGGAAAUAUUCUCAUGAGUUUUUUUUUUUUUUUUUUUUCUUUUACAAUGUGCUUAGACUGUGAAAAGGCACCAACUUCCAGCCCAAACUGAAUCGCCUCCGAGAUCCUAUUAAACAGCGAAUGCCCCGCACACCACUGUAUGAAAAUGUUUUUCUAGGAUGAGCUCAAAGCAUUUCAUCCUCCAAAUGAAAUCUAUCUGCUCGCACUUAGAUUGUUCGAAGGCAGAUGGUAGGCAAUUGAAACAGAGAGGCAAGCUG